rnacentral:sRNA from 1 species
GCUGGGCAUGGUGGCGCACACCUGUAAUCUCAGGCAGCUUGGGAGGCUGAGGCAGGAGGAUUGCUAGUUCAAAGCCAGACUCAGCAAUAGUGAGGUGCUAAGCAACUCAGUGAGACCCUGUCUCUU